CACAGGUUUGAUCCCAGCCUUUCUAUUAGUUUUUAAUAAAAUUAUACAUGCAAGUAUCCGCAUCCCAGUGAGAGUGCCCCCCAGUUCCAAGUAGAACAAAAGGAGCAGGCAUCAAGCACACAGACCUGUAGCUAACGACGCCUUGCUUAGCCACACCCCCACGGGACACAGCAGUAACAAAAAUUGAGUUAUAAACGGAAGUUUGACUAAGUUAUAUUAUUCAGGGCCGGUAAAUUUCGUGCCAGCCACCGCGGUCAUACGAUUAGCCCGAAUUAAUGGAAAUCCGGCGUAAAGCGUGUUAACGAGUGACUAUCAAAUAGAGUUAAGUCUUGGCCAAGAUGUAAAAAUCUAUGACCAACGCAAAAAUAAACUACGAAAGUGACCCUAAUACGAUCUACUACACGACAGCUAAGGUCCAAACUGGGAUUAGAUACCCCACUAUGCUUAGCCUUAAACCUAGGUGAUUACAACAACAAAAUCACUCGCCAGAGUACUACUAGCAACAGCUUAAAACUCAAAGGACUUGGCGGUGCUUCAUACCCCCUAGAGGAGCCUGUUCUAUAAUCGAUAAACCCCGAUCAACCUCACCAACCCUUGCUAAUUCAGUCUAUAUACCGCCAUCUCCAGCAAACCCCUAUAGGGAUCAAUAGUAAGCUUAACUAUUCAAACAUAAAAACGUUAGGUCAAGGUGUAACCGAUGGGCUGGGAAGAAAUGGGCUACAUUUUCUUGUCUUAAGAAAACUUCAAAAUCCUUACGAAAGCCCCUAUGAAACUGAGGGCCCAAGGAGGAUUUAGUAGUAAAUCAAGAAUAGAGUGCUUGAUUGAACUAGGCCAUGAAGCACGCACACACCGCCCGUCACCCUCUUCAAAUCCAAUGAGCCUGCAAGAAAAUAUAAAUAAGUGCAAAACGUAUGAGAAGAGAUAAGUCGUAACAAGGUAAGCAUACUGGAAAGUGUGCUUGGAUAAGC
rnacentral:ncRNA from 1 species